UGCGGAAUAUUGGUCAAUGGGCGAGAGCCUGAACCAGCCAAGUCGCGUGAAGGAAGACAGUCCUAAGGAUUGUAAACUUCUUUUAUACGGGAAUAACGGGCGAUACGAGUAUUGCAUUGAAUGUACCGUAAGAAUAAGCAUCGGCUAACUCCGUGCCAGCAGCCGCGGUAAUACGGAGGAUGCGAGCGUUAUCCGGAUUUAUUGGGUUUAAAGGGUGCGUAGGUUGUUCGGUAAGUCAGCGGUGAAACCUGAGCGCUCAACGUUCAGCCUGCCGUUGAAACUGCCGGGCUUGAGUUCAGUGGCGGCAGGCGGAAUUCGUGGUGUAGCGGUGAAAUGCAUAGAUAUCACGAGGAACUCCGAUUGCGAAGGCAGCUUGCCAUACUGCGACUGACACUGAAGCACGAAGGCGUGGGUAUCAAACAGG
rnacentral:rRNA from 1 species